CUGGCUUCGAGUAAUCUGGGAGCGAAGACCAGGUGCCUUGCUGGCACGCCGGUCGAUGCUCGUACUAGAUUCCUUCAGAGGCCACUGCACUGAUGCGGUGAAGGCUCGCCUUGCCGAGACCAGCACCGACCUCGUCAUAAUACCUGGCGGCAUGACGUCCAUGCUACAGCCACUCGACGUGUGCCUGAACAAGCCGUUCAAGGCACACGUGAAGCGGCUGUAUGCCCAGUGGAUGGCCGACGGCAUUUACGCCCUCACACCGACGGGACGCGUGCGAAGGCCUGAUAUUCCAUUGCUGUGCCAGUGGAUCGUGGAUGCGUGGAAAGCGAUACUGGCCGAUUUGGUGCGCAAAAGCUUUAAAAAAUGUGCGAUCAGUAAUAGUUUGGAUGGUUCCGAGGACGACUACGUCUUUGAGAGUGGCGAUGAAGCCUCGGAUGGCAGUAGUGAGAGCGGCGACGAUUAAGAAUCGGAUAACCAGUGACGUGGUGGCGGUCGUUUGAAUAAAUGUUCUGAAAACGAAAUGAUCACUGAGUGUGAGUUGCAUCUUUCUAGCGCUCAUUUUUUUUUUUUUCAGGUAAACGUGCGGGUUAUACGCGAGUUUUUUUUCCGCCGAGUUCAAAGUUAGGGGUGCGGGUUAUACGCAGGGGCGGGUUAUACGCGGGUAAAUACGGUAACAUGUCUGAAAAUUCACGUUGUAUUACAUUUGGUUUUACUGCAGAAACCUCGCUGGGUGACGAGUUGGCUUGUGGUGAGUCUCUUUUCCUUCUCUGGCUGGCACAUCCAAAGGCAGGGUGAAUAAGAACCAAUUAUUUCAUGUGCUUUUCUAAACCACGUUUGGCUCUCUGUUUAGGUUCCCCUGGAUCCACGGCUCCCAGUGCUUCGCAGCAGCCAAUGUUGCCUGCACCACCAAUUCCACCUUGUCAAGGGAGUUGUUGUGCGGUCUGAAGCUGCCUUCAAGAUCAUGCGCAAUCUCAAGCCAACACUUGUCGUGAAGGACACGGCUGAAGCUGUGGAGGGGAAGGAUGUUUUAGAAAAGAAGAGCGUCACAUCACAGGGAUGGUGGCGUCACGGAAAAAAUGCCUGGGCGAAUUGGCUAAAGAGCCACUAACACCCGAGAUGGUUGCUGUUGUUACAGCCAUGCUGAAGCACUGGGGUGCAGAAAAGAACAUAGACGUGGAAUCAACACUCCUGAACCUGGGCCGCCUGCUGUCAGAGAAGA